UGCGCAGGCGGAAUAUUAAGUCAGUGGUGAAAUCCUACAGCUCAACUGUAGAACUGCCAUUGAUACUGAUAUUCUUGAAUGUAGUUGAGGUAGGCGGAAUGUGUAAUGUAGCGGUGAAAUGCUUAGAUAUUACACAGAACACCGAUUGCGAAGGCAGCUUACUAAACUAUGAUUGACGCUGAGGCACGAAAGCGUGGGGAGCGAACAGGAUUAGAUACCCUGGUAGUCC
rnacentral:rRNA from 1 species